rnacentral:rRNA from 1 species
CUGCUGCCUUCCGUAGGAGUCUGGGCCGUGUCUCAGUACCAGUGUGGGGGACCUUCCUCUCAGAACCCCUACGCAUCGUCGCCUCGGUGGGCCGUUACCCUGCCGACUAGCUAAUGCGCCGCAUGCCCAUCCCCCGCCGGAAUCGCUUCCUUUGGCCGCAGACCCAUGCAGGUCCGCGGCGUUACGCGGUAUUAGUCGGGAUUUCUCCCGGUUAUCCCCCUGCGGGGGCAGGUCGCAUACGUGUUACUCACCCGUGCGCCGGUCGCCGG